CUAACAAGGAUUCCCCCAGUAACGGCGAGUGAAGCGGGAAGAGCUCAAAUUUGAAAUCUCCGAGGCCUGAAAGCUUCGGCGAGUUGUAGUUGCGAGAAGCACUUUCUAGGCGGACCGAGCGUGCCUAAGUUGCUUGGAACAGCACGUCGCAGAGGGUGACAACCCCGUCUGUGGCGCGGACGGCCGCUGACGAUGUGCUUUCGAAGAGUCGGGUUGUUUGGGAAUGCAGCCCAAAAGGGGUGGUAAACUCCAUCUAAAGCUAAAUACUGGCGUGAGACCGAUAGCGAAGGAAACGAAUGGACUCAGCAAUGCGCCGUUUGAGAUUCAGCCGGCGGGUGGCGUCGGCCCGGGGUUUGCGGAUCUGAAUGGACCGCGGUCCCGGGCCCGGCGCUCCCGGUCGUCGCACUUCUCUUGGGCGCGCGUCAACGUCGGUUGGGACUGGGUCUGAAAGGUGCCGAGAAGGUAGGUCUGUGCGUUCCCCUCGGGGUCGCCCGGUCUGUUACAGCUCGGUUGUCUUCGCGGCUCGGGCCCGACCGAGGCGGUUGGUUGCAGCGCAUGCCUCUCGUAAGGCUAGGGUCCCGUCCCUCCGGCCGGUCGUCGAAUGCGGUGGACUGCGUGCAGUGCUCCGCGAAUGCUGCCGGUCGUUGGGGUGGUGAUCU
rnacentral:rRNA from 1 species